UACGAAGGGGGCUAGCGUUGUUCGGAAUUACUGGGCGUAAAGGGCGCGUAGGCUGUGCUGUAAGUCAGGCGUGAAAGCCCCGGGCUCAACCUGGGAAUUGCGCUUGAUACUGCGGCGCUGGAAGGUGGGAGAGGAUGGCGGAAUUCCCAGUGUAGAGGUGAAAUUCGUAGAUAUUGGGAAGAACACCGGUGGCGAAGGCGGCCAUCUGGCCCACAAUUGACGCUGAGGCGCGAAAGCGUGGGGAGCGAACAGG
rnacentral:rRNA from 1 species